GAUGAAGAACGUAGCGAAAUGCGAUAAGUAGUGUGAAUUGCAGAAUUCAGUGAAUCAUCGAAUCUUUGAACGCACAUUGCGCCCCUUGGUAUUCCAUGGGGCAUGCCUGUUCGAGCGUCAUUUGUACCUUCAAGCUUUGCUUGGUGUUGGGUGUUUGUCUCGCCUUUGCGUGUAGACUCGCCUUAAAAUAAUUGGCAGCCGGCGUAUUGAUUUCGGAGCGCAGUACAUCUCGCGCUUUGCACUCAUAACGACAGCGUCCAAAAGUACAUUUUACACUCUUGACCUCGGAUCAGGUAGGGAUACCCGCUGAACUUAUGCAUAUCAAUAAGCGGAGGA
rnacentral:misc_RNA from 1 species